rnacentral:misc_RNA from 1 species
GGGAGAUUGAAAAUGAAAGAGACUUGGGGGGGAGAGAGAAAGAAGGUGGAACAAAAUAUUAAAAACAAAAAAGGAGGAGCAUAGAGAAUGUGGAGCUCAAAGAUUAGCAAGUCUUUGAAGCUAAUAUCUGGCUUGGGAAUUGAGGGUCAAGGGUGCUUCAUGUUUGUUGAUUGGGUAAAUAGAAAGGAGAACAACAAGGAAUCUGGGUUUCUAAAAUGAUUUAUGUUUUAUUAUUUAGUACCCACGUGUUAGAUUGGGUUCAAGUGGGUUUCUAACUUUUAAAACCAAAGCCAGCCUACAAACUUGAUUUCCUCUCUCAUUUUAACCGGCAGCAGCCAACCCAACACUCUUAAAGCCCAUUGACUCUAAUCCAGGCUCAUUCAGUUUCUCACGGUUGGUGUACAGUCCUAAUUUU